GUGGGGAAUAUUGGACAAUGGGCGAAAGCCUGAUCCAGCAAUGCCGCGUGAGUGAUGAAGGCCUUAGGGUUGUAAAGCUCUUUUACCCGGGAUGAUAAUGACAGUACCGGGAGAAUAAGCUCCGGCUAACUCCGUGCCAGCAGCCGCGGUAAUACGGAGGGAGCUAGCGUUGUUCGGAAUUACUGGGCGUAAAGCGCACGUAGGCGGCUUUGUAAGUUAGAGGUGAAAGCCUGGAGCUUAACUCCAGAACUGCCUUUAAGACUGCAUCGCUUGAAUCCAGGAGAGGUGAGUGGAAUUCCGAGUGUAGAGGUGAAAUUCGUAGAUAUUCGGAAGAACACCAGUGGCGAAGGCGGCUCACUGGACUGGUAUUGACGCUGAGGUGCGAAAGCGUGGGGAGCAAACAGGAUUAGAAACCCGUGUAGUCC
rnacentral:rRNA from 1 species